GAACCUGUGUGGAUGGCGCCGCGUUGAGCGGCGGAUGUGUAGUGCGGCUUCCGUAGGCGGGCGCGUUUUCUAGCCCCGGUAGGAACGUCACGUGAGAAGUUAGGUGUAGGGUCCCUGGUGGGAGCAAAAGCGAGUGACAGAGGAGGCGUCCCCACUUCCAUAAGAGAAAACAAGGGCCACGAUGCCUUUAUCCUAGGGUAAUUAGACCUGGUUUUAAAUCUUUAUGGCGUCCUGUACAUAAGGUAGCCCGGGCCCUUCUGCUUCCCGGCCUCUUCUGUUUUUCAGCCAGAGCACACACUUUACAGACUUUUAACCAAGCAUUUGCUAAUUACUAGCUAUCUCACUUUGGGCAAGUCCGCAAGUCUCUAAAAGGAAGAUAUUAAAUACCCCUGUGGCGCUCUGAUCAAAAGAUCUCCCAAAGUUAAAGCACUUAACCUGCAAGUCUUACAGAGAGCAAGAACGCUAUAAAGGGUGGUUAAUUUAUGAUUGUGUGCAAACGACUAUUUGAGACUUUGCCUGGAUGGUAAAGUUUUGUCUGCAAGAUGAAGAGGAGGACCAGAGGGGGUCAGCGACCUCCAAAUGUCUAUGUGAACGUUUACACUAUGGGUCCUUGUUUUUCAUCAUGUUGUCAAAAGUAAUGAACACCUUCCUUGGACUUGAAAGAAGAGCCCAUUAUCACUGCCAUCUUUGUCAAGAAACUAGGUAAACCACUCUGACUAUAUCCUUUCCUCGGGUCUCUCUCAAAUAGCUGUCCGUAUUGCAUGCGCCUGCGGUCUCUGUUCUUCCCACUGUGGAAUCUCUCCAGUCUCUGUUUUAGGCGUUGGAUAAAGGCUGGUGUAGAGAGACAAACCUAGUUUUGAAUAAAUGAAUGAAUACAUUUCCUUAUUCAUUUUUAAAUGAAGACAUGCCAAGGCAAGAUCAUCAAAUUAAGCCGGGCAGUGGUGGUGCACGCCUUUAAUCCCAGCACUUGGGAGGCAGAGGCAGGC
ensembl:lincRNA Gm42997 predicted gene 42997